rnacentral:lncRNA from 1 species
AGCCAGGAAACCGAGAACGGAAUGCCAAUACUGCUUAGGCUUAGAGUUUGAAAGGCAUCUGAUUUCACUGCCAUGUCUUUGAACAGCAGUGCACAGUGCAGUCUUCUUCGUGGCUGAACAGAGCUAAGGUCUUGCUAUGUUGCCUAGACUGGUUUUGAACUCCUGGGCUGAAGCAAUCCUCCCACUUCGGCCUCUCAAAGUGCUGGGAUAUCAGACAUGAGCCACCUGCCAUGCUUGGCCUAUAAUCAUGAAAAGAUCAACCCCAAGAAAGAAAAGGAAACAUGGAAGGACCUGGACUGGAGUCACGCCAGUACAAGGAGGAUACUGGCAAAGAUGAGCUGCCUAGGAAUAGCCAGGCAACCAGCUGCUACUUUGAGCACCCGGCUAAAAUAAGCAGAGACAACUGGAAGGCUUGAUGUGAAAAAGAGCUGUUGAAGUGUACACAAGCAAGCUGACUGCCUUAUGACUAAUACUUGACAGAACCCAGCAAGAGGAUAUGAGAUUGCAGAUGGAUGACCUCAAUCCUGAACAGAAAGGCGUGCAUGAUAAUGGAGAGAAAAAAGCCAAUGGGGAAAAAAAACCCACCACUAUUUUUUUAAUAGCCUAACACACACACAAAAAACUGGUUUUCCUUUUUCUGUAAUGUGUCUGUAGAGCUGGCUAUUCUGAUUAAAGUUGCCCUUGAAAAA